AGUGAACGCUGGCGGUAGGCCUAACACAUGCAAGUCGAACGGCAGCACAGUAAGAGCUUGCUCUUACGGGUGGCGAGUGGCGGACGGGUGAGGAAUACAUCGGAAUCUACUUUUUCGUGGGGGAUAACGUAGGGAAACUUACGCCAAUACCGCAUACGACCUACGGGUGAAAGCAGGGGAUCUUCGGACCUUGCGCGAUUGAAUGAGCCGAUGUCGGAUUAGCUAGUUGGCGGGGUAAAGGCCCACCAAGGCGACGAUCCGUAGCUGGUCUGAGAGGAUGAUCAGCCACACUGGAACUGAGACACGGUCCAGACUCCUACGGGAGGCAGCAGUGGGGAAUAUUGGACAAAGGGCGCAAGCCUGAUCCAGCCAUACCGCGUGGGUGAAGAAGGCCUUCGGGUUGUAAAGCCCUUUUGUUGGGAAAGAAAAGCAGCAGGUUAAUACCCCGCUGUUCUGACGGUACCCAAAGAAUAAGCACCGGCUAACUUCGUG
rnacentral:rRNA from 1 species